rnacentral:rRNA from 1 species
AUACGGAGGAUGCGAGCGUUAUCCGGAUUUAUUGGGUUUAAAGGGAGCGUAGGUGGGAUAUUAAGUCAGCUGUGAAAGUUUGGGGCUCAACCUUAAAAUUGCAGUUGAUACUGGUUACCUUGAGUACGGUACAGGUGGGCGGAAUUCGUGGUGUAGCGGUGAAAUGCUUAGAUAUCACGAAGAACUCCGAUCGCGAAGGCAGCUCACCGGGCCGGAACUGACACUGAUGCUCGAAAGUGCGGGUAUCAAACAGGAUUAGAUACCCUGGUAGUCCGCACAGUAAACGAUGAAUACACGCUGUUUGCGAUACACAGUAAGCGGCCAAGCGAAAGCGUUAAGUAUUCCACCUGGGGAGUACGCCGGCAACGGUGAAACUCAAAGGAAUUGGCGGGG